rnacentral:misc_RNA from 1 species
ACCAUUCUUCACUCUUCGACACCAGUUGAUCUUGUUUUAGACUUGCUUUUAUCCAAAUAUUUCAAGUACAUUGAUGUCCGUUAUUUUACCCACAUUAGCCUUGCAAAACUUGCAAAAACUUUGGAGUCAAAGGACAACCCUGAUGACAAGACUAAGACUGCUGAUGGAGAUGAUGAAAGUCAUUCUAGGGCCAGCAUGGAUCUCUGUAUUCACAAGAUACAUUAUAUUAUGUCACACGUUCCCCCACUAGAAGUUGCAAAAGAGAAUUCUGAUUAUGAGAUGUGGA